rnacentral:lncRNA from 1 species
UUCCUACCAAUGUACUUAGCGCACAAAUUAUAUAAGAAUAUCUAAACUAUUAAAAUAGUUCAAAAAAUCUGAUUUUUGGAUUAAUUAUUGUGGGAGAACAUGACAAUUUAAUACGGGAUCAGCUCUAUCUAUUUUAAAGAAAUGGACUAACUUCUUGAUGAAAAAAUGGAACAACUUAUUACGAAGUAAGCUGUUGGGACCAGUUCUAAUUAUACACAAAUAUAACUUAUUAGCUAAUAUGAGCCAAUAGCUUAACAACUACACAAACAGCCGACACUAUUUUCAUGUGACUUGAAAGAAAGAAAAAAUUCAGCAUUCACUAACUAAAGUAGUACUAAAGGAGACUAGUAAAAGAAAUAUGAAAUCUAGAACGAACAAUUGGGUAAUGAGAAAUCAGCUAAAGCUGAAAAUAAUAUUGCUACAAUAAGGGAAUAGUAAAGCUAGAUCAUUACAUGAUUCUUUGCUGAUAUUAAUCCCAACUUCCAGCAAGCCAAAUGGCAGAGAUUUUAAGCCAAACAAGACUCUUUCACAAACUCCACAGCUUCUGUACACUCCAAAGUUUUCAUUAAAUAUUUAGCAUACGAUUUUCUUUUCAAAAGUAUUGCCAAAAUUAUAUUGAAAUACUACUUAAAAGAUGAAAAAAAAUAUUACAAAGGAAAAACAGAGCAACAAAGUCAUGGAUUUAGCACUAUGAUCCCCAAGAUGAAUUCAAAAGUAUAACUUCUGGCAAAACUCCUUUAAAGAUGCUCAAAUAAUAUAAAUAUGCUCAAACCUUCACUAAUUGCUAUUACAAAUCUGCAUUACAAAGGAUGAAGAAUUACUUAAAUGUAAAAAAACAUCAAAAUACAGCAGAAUAAAGUGAAAUUCCAACACAAAUUACAGCUAGAAUAACAACAACCAACAGCAAAUCAACAACUUUUAUCCCGAGAAACAACCCAAAAAAGACCCUUAAACUUAGUAAAUUUGCAAGAAAAAGGAUUUCAGCAAUCAACUUCAAUACUCUUAUGCUUUUGAAAGAUUUUGCUCACAGAGAAUGUACUCACAAAAGAUCACCACUUUCAGCUUACUACUAAGUGUUUAGAUCCUAUUUUUACUCUCAAAGUUACAUUUUUUUAGUGUAUAACAGAUGUCUUUUUCAAUUGUGUUCAAGCAACUUCAAAGAUGUUAUCGAAGUAUGUGUGUCUUUUUUAGAGUAAAAAAAUCCUUUUCAAAUGAGGAAAGAACUCCUCUUUUUAUAGAGGGAAGAGGGGAAUGACCUUGGGACAGAUUUUGUUUCGCCAAAAAUAUGUCCAAAUUAUAGAUUUUUUAUCAAAAAUCUGUCCAAAACCAAAUUUUUGCCCAAUGAAUAGUUGUUCUCACCAAAUAUGGAUAGAAUUUUAAAGUAUUGUACUCCAAAAUAGUUCGCAAGAGUGAAAAUAAAAAACAAAGGCCCUACACUCAAGUACUCUUCCUUUCUUUUCUUUCCUCUUAAUCUCCCAAACCAAAUUUUAUGUUCAAACCAAAUAUAUGAUUCAUAUUACUCAAAUCUUACUAAAAUACACUUAUAUCUGUUGAAGUGCUAAGCAUUUCAACACAAACUAUCAUCGAACAAUCAGCCUAUAGGUUAUUAAUUCAUUAGAACAAAUGAACUCAUGACUUGUAAAGAUCAAUAACUCAAGUAAACAAAUUAGCCAUACUUCAGAAUGAAUCAAGAUCACUGAUGCAUUUGAACGAUGAUCAAUUAAAAGAAAUAAACAAACUAACUGAACUUUAUAUAACCUAUAUCAAUCGGUUAACAAAUGAACUAACAAACAGAACUAGAAGCUAAUCAAUUCAACCGUCAAACGGUAGUCCUGAACCAACAUUAAACAACUAAACUACCAACUGUUAAUCCCAAACCAAAAUAUGAUUUUAAUCUAGCAAAUAUUAAACAUGAAAAGAUAAAACAAGGUAAACUAACAUAAUUGAUCAUGCUUCCCAGGAUAUGCCAAUCAAAACGGAUAACAAGACUAAUACAAACAAGACUAAACGAGUGCAUAUUAACCAAAAGACUUAAUCUUUGAAGCGAAAUGCAUAAUUUAAACUAAUAUACAUUAGUCAAAAUCAAUACUUAAAACCGCCUAUAAAUGAUAUAAAUAAUAUUAAAGCAAAACUAAAACUAAUUGAAAUUGAAUACUACCCAAUUACGUGAUAUUAAACAAGACGAAAACUAAAAUAUGAUCUUAGUCUUAAUAAUAGAACCAAAAAUCAGAAAAAAAUGAAGAAAAAGAAUAGGGUUAUACCGAACGAGGGAAGUAGACGCCAAAUAAAACGAAGAGAUGUCAAGGAAGACGAGUCGUGAAUAUCCGAAUUAAAGCGAACAUUUCCUUUUAGCAGGUCCCAAAACAAACAAGGUUUGGUGUCGUGAUAGAAGGAAAUGAGUGCCUUUAAGUAGAGAUGAAGCUAGAGUGGAGAAACAGUGGUGGUCUUGGGUAGUGGAGCAGCGGCGCUGACACAGCAGUGGGAUGGUGGACGGCAACGCCGGGUUGAAGUAUUGGCUCGAAACUAACAUAAGUCUGUAGUUUUUCAAGAGUUGUGUCCAAAUAUAUGUAUAUUAUGAGAAGGGGAUGGCUAGAAGUUGACUAAUUUCAAAAGAAAUUGGGUUAGGAUUUCGGCCAAAAUAGAAUUCAUGAGGAUAGAGAGAGAUUUAGGAAAUUUGAGUGUUGCAUCCGAAAAGAGGAGGUUGAGAUCAGUGAGGGUGAAAUUCUGGUCGUGUUUGGAGCACCACCGGUGGCGGCGCAUGGUGGUGGCAGUAGAGGAGGGGCGGCAGCUUGAGAAAGAGGAGAGAUAAAGAGAUAGGUCUCUAGGGUUUGGGUUUUUACAGAAAUGACAAAAAUAAUUGAUUUUUAAAGGAUUUUCU